GGGAAGGUAGCUCAGUGGUAGAGUGCUUGCCUUGCAUGCAUGAGGCCCUAGGUUCGAUUCCUCAGCACCA
rfam:Dipodomys ordii contig_72530, whole genome shotgun sequence.